rnacentral:rRNA from 1 species
UACGUAGGGUGCGAGCGUUAAUCGGAAUUACUGGGCGUAAAGCGUGCGCAGGCGGUUUUGUAAGCCAGAUGUGAAAUCCCCGGGCUUAACCUGGGAAUGGCAUUUGGGACUGCAAGGCUGGAGUGCGGCAGAGGAGACUGGAAUUCCUGGUGUAGCAGUGAAAUGCGUAGAUAUCAGGAGGAAUACCGAUGGCGAAGGCAGGUCUCUGGGACUGACACUGACGCUCAUGCACGAAAGCGUGGGGAGCAAACAGG